AUUGAACGCUGGCGGCAUGCCUUACACAUGCAAGUCGAACGGCAGCACGGGUGCUUGCACCUGGUGGCGAGUGGCGAACGGGUGAGUAAUACAUCGGAACAUGUCCUGUAGUGGGGGAUAGCCCGGCGAAAGCCGGAUUAAUACCGCAUACGAUCUACGGAUGAAAGCGGGGGACCUUCGGGCCUCGCGCUAUAGGGUUGGCCGAUAGCUGAUUAGCUAGUUGGUGGGGUAAAGGCCUACCAAGGCGACGAUCAGUAGCUGGUCUGAGAGGACGACCAGCACCCUGGGGCCGGUGACCGGCCCCGACCCCUUCGGGGGGCAGCAGGGGGGGAUUUUUGGACAUGGGGGAAAUGCUUGAUCCAGAAAUCCGGGGUGUGGAAAGAGGCCCUUCGGUUUGUAAGGCAUUUUUGCCGGGAAAGAAUCCCUUGCCUUUAAUACGGGGGGGGGAUGAGGGUCCCGGAAAAAAAAGCCCGGGCUAACUCGGUG
rnacentral:rRNA from 1 species